rnacentral:lncRNA from 1 species
AGCAAAACCACAUUCCUGCUGCUGUCAGUUAUGAUGCACUGAGAAAACUUCAGAGACCUAAACUUUUUCCAGAGAAGAGAAGCUUUACUGGUGUUCCAGCCCUAAGAAACUUAAAUCCUCAGUGUGACACAACUCAGUCCUUCUACUGCAGCAGCUCUUUUAUAAAUGCCUCCCAAAGCUCCAAGAAGGAACAAAGAAUGUGACCCAGUAAGAUCACACCAUGAGUCUAUAUUGCAGAAACCUUUGUUCAACAAAACUGCAGAUGCUCUGUUGAAUCCACUGGAGAUUGUUCUGAUACUAAGGACAAGUAUGGGAAUUUCUACUCAUCUUAAAAACAUAUAUAGAUAUUGAUCUGCGGAGAAAUAUAUCUCUGUUAUUUCAAGGCUCAUAUGACAUUAACAGACAAGACACUUUUCAGAAAGACAGGUAAGUCAUUUGUUAAAAUCUC